ACGAACGCUGGCGGCGUGCCUAAUACAUGCAAGUCGAACGAAACUUUCUUACACCGAAUGCUUGCAUUCACCGUAAGAAGUUGAGUGGCGGACGGGUGAGUAACACGUGGGUAACCUGCCUAAAAGAAGGGGAUAACACUUGGAAACAGGUGCUAAUACCGUAUAUCUCUAAGGAUCGCAUGAUCCUUAGAUGAAAGAUGGUUCUGCUAUCGCUUUUAGAUGGACCCGCGGCGUAUUAACUAGUUGGUGGGGUAACGGCCUACCAAGGUGAUGAUACGUAGCCGAACUGAGAGGUUGAUCGGCCACAUUGGGACUGAGACACGGCCCAAACUCCUACGGGAGGCAGCAGUAGGGAAUCUUCCACAAUGGACGCAAGUCUGAUGGAGCAACGCCGUGUGAGUGAAGAAGGUCUUCGGAUCGUAAAACUCUGUUGUUAGAGAAGAACACGAGUGAGAGUAACUGUUCAUUCGAUGACGGUAUCUAACCAGCAAGUCACGGCUAACUACGUGCCAGCAGCCGCGGUAAUACGUAGGUGGCAAGCGUUGUCCGGAUUUAUUGGGCGUAAAGGGAACGCAGGCGGUCUUUUAAGUCUGAUGUGAAAGCCUUCGGCUUAACCGGAGUAGUGCAUUGGAAACUGGAAGACUUGAGUGCAGAAGAGGAGAGUGGAACUCCAUGUGUAGCGGUGAAAUGCGUAGAUAUAUGGAAGAACACCAGUGGCGAAAGCGGCUCUCUGGUCUGUAACUGACGCUGAGGUUCGAAAGCGUGGGUAGCAAACAGGAUUAGAUACCCUGGUAGUCCACGCCGUAAACGAUGAAUGCUAGGUGUUGGAGGGUUUCCGCCCUUCAGUGCCGCAGCUAACGCAAUAAGCAUUCCGCCUGGGGAGUACGACCGCAAGGUUGAAACUCAAAGGAAUUGACGGGGGCCCGCACAAGCGGUGGAGUAUGUGGUUUAAUUCGAAGCAACGCGAAGAACCUUACCAGGUCUUGACAUCCGAUGCAUAGCUUAGAGAUAAGUGAAGUCCUUCGGGACAUCGAGACAGGUGGUGCAUGGUUGUCGUCAGCUCGUGUCGUGAGAUGUUGGGUUAAGUCCCGCAACGAGCGCAACCCUUGUUGUCAGUUGCCAGCAUUAAGUUGGGCACUCUGGCGAGACUGCCGGUGACAAACCGGAGGAAGGUGGGGACGACGUCAAGUCAUCAUGCCCCUUAUGACCUGGGCUACACACGUGCUACAAUGGACGGUACAACGAGUCGCGAGACCGCGAGGUUUAGCUAAUCUCUUAAAGCCGUUCUCAGUUCGGAUUGUAGGCUGCAACUCGCCUACAUGAAGUCGGAAUCGCUAGUAAUCGCGAAUCAGCAUGUCGCGGUGAAUACGUUCCCGGGCCUUGUACACACCGCCCGUCACACCAUGAGAGUUUGUAACACCCAAAGCCGGUGGGGUAACCGCAAGGAGCCAGCCGUCUAAGGUGGGACAGAUGAUUGGGGUG
rnacentral:rRNA from 1 species